GUAGCGCCCGCCCUUUGGGGUGGGCGAGGAUUGAAAC
rnacentral:other from 1 species